AUUGAACGCUGGCGGUAGGCCUAACACAUGCAAGUCGAACGCGAAAGUCCUUCGGGAUGAGUAGAGUGGCGGACGGGUGAGUAACGCGUAGGAAUCUAUCCUGUAGUGGGGGAUAACGUUUCGAAAGGAACGCUAAUACCGCAUACGCCCCAAGGGGGAAAGCGGGGGAUCUUCGGACCUCGUGCUAUAGGAGGAGCCUGCGUCGGAUUAGCUAGUUGGUGAGGUAAAGGCUCACCAAGGCGACGAUCCGUAGCUGGUCUGAGAGGAUGAUCAGCCACACCGGAACUGAGACACGGUCCGGACUCCUACGGGAGGCAGCAGUGGGGAAUAUUGCGCAAUGGGCGAAAGCCUGACGCAGCCAUACCGCGUGUGUGAAGAAGGCCUUCGGGUUGUAAAGCACUUUCAGUGGGGAGGAAAAGCUGGUGGCUAAUAACCACAGCAAUUGACGUUACCCGCAGAAGAAGCACCGGCUAACUACGUGCCAGCCGCCGCCGUAAGAC
rnacentral:rRNA from 1 species